rnacentral:rRNA from 1 species
UGGGGAAUAUUGCACAAUGGGCGCAAGCCUGAUGCAGCCAUGCCGCGUGUAUGAAGAAGGCCUUCGGGUUGUAAAGUACUUUCAGCGGGGAGGAAGGUGUUGAGGUUAAUAACCUCAGCAAUUGACGUUACCCGCAGAAGAAGCACCGGCUAACUCCGUGCCAGCAGCCGCGGUAAUACGGAGGGUGCAAGCGUUAAUCGGAAUUACUGGGCGUAAAGCGCACGCAGGCGGUAUGUCAAGUCGGAUGUGAAAUCCCCGGGCUCAACCUGGGAACUGCAUUCGAAACUGGCAGGCUAGAGUCUUGUAGAGGGGGGUAGAAUUCCAGGUGUAGCGGUGAAAUGCGUAGAGAUCUGGAGGAAUACCGGUGGCGAAGGCGGCCCCCUGGACAAAGACUGACGCUCAGGUGCGAAAGCGUGGGGAGCAAACA